UCGGAAUCUGCCCAAUGGUGGGGAAUAACCAGCCGAAAGGUUGGCUAAUACCGCAUACGUCCUACGGGAGAAAGCAGGGGAUCGCAAGACCUUGCGCCAAUGGAUGAGCCGAAGUCGGAUUAGCUUGUUGGUAGGGUAACGGCCUACCAAGGCGACGAUCCGUAGCUGGUCUGAGAGGACGACCAGCCACACUGGGACUGAGACACGGCCCAGACUCCUACGGGAGGCAGCAGUGGGGAAUAUUGGACAAUGGGGGAAACCCUGAUCCAGCGACGCCGCGUGUGUGAAGAAGGCCUGCGGGUUGUAAAGCACUUUUAGUGGGGAUGAAAAGCACGGGGCUAACACCUCCGUGUCUUGACCUAACCCACAGAAAAAGCACCGGCUAACUCUGUGCCAGCAC
rnacentral:rRNA from 1 species